rnacentral:rRNA from 1 species
UACGUAGGGGGCAAGCGUUGUUCGGAAUUACUGGGCGUAAAGGGCGCGUAGGCGGCACGGCAAGUCAGGAGUGAAAGGCCUGGGCUCAACCGAGGAACUGCUUUUGAGACUGCCGAGCUAGAGUGCAGAAGGGGCAACUGGAAUUCCCAGUGUAGCGGUGAAAUGCGCAGAUAUCAGGAAGAACACCCGUGGCGAAGGCGGCUCUCUGGGACGGUACUGACGCUGAGACGCGAAAGCGUGGGGAGCGAACAGG